rnacentral:lncRNA from 1 species
UUGUGCAGCCCUGGGCAGGUCACUUCUGAGCCUCAGUUUUCCUCAUCUGUAAAUGCAGAUGAUAAUUGUAUCUACCAAACAGGGAUUUUUUUUGUUUGUUUUUGUUUUUUAGAGCCACACCCACGGCAUAUGGAAGUUCCCAGACCAGGGGUUGAAUCAGAGCUACAGCUGCCGGCCUACACCACAGCCACAGCAACGCCAGAUCCAAGCCACGUCUGUGAUCUGUGCUGCAGCUCCUGGCAGUGCCGGAUCCUUAACCCACUGAGUGAGGCCAGGGAUCGAACCCUCGUUCUCCUGGAUACUAGUUGGGUUCAUUUCCACUGAGCCGCAAAGGCAACUCCGAAACAGGGAUUUUUUUGAAGGUUAAAUGAGCUCAUUCAUUUUCUCUGGCAGGUGAAGCAGAAGCUGCCCAUAUGCUACGGUGUCAACUAUGCAGAUGGGCCCAGAUCAGCCAACAUGACACACAUCAAGUUGAACAGAAACGCCCACAGGAGCCUGGAAGAAGAUGCCGUCAGGAAUUGACAAGAAGCAUUUCGGAUCUCAGCUCAUCUCCACGAGCUCAUCUGCAUACCACGCAGGUCGUCGCUGGGAGAAAGUGUGUCUUCAGAACGGACCGUGAAUCAAGCAUCCUGUCUGGCGUCUAAUAUCUGCUUAGGAAAGGUAAUCCUAUGACGCUUAUGAUUGAAAGGUCCUGGAGACAGAGCAGUAAAGGAGACAGACAAGGUUCCUGAUGCCAGUGCCCCGCCGGUUUCCAUGAUGGACAAGUAAGGUGUCAGGUAUGGCAGCGAAACCUGUUUUAGGAUGAGGGUCAUGGGGUGAGGGCAGAAUGUACUUAAGGAGGCGACACGUCAACCCAAACUGAAGAGGUGGGGCAAGAGUAUUCCAGCAGAGGAACUCGACGCUUGUCCGAGAGCAGCGUCAGAACUGAAUGCAGGAAAGGGCACUGCUGAGGGGCUGGGAGGAGGGGGUGAGACAGAAGCAGAGACCAGACCUCUGGGGGUGCUGACAACCAUGUUCGGGAUUCUGACCUUUACUCAGUGGCCACGAGGGUGGUUGCAUCAUACGGUAGAGUGCUGGUUCUCAUUCCGGGCUGCAGGUUGGAAACCCGUAGGGUUCUUAAAAUCUGGGCUGACCCCCAAAUCAAUUGAAUCAGUCUCUUUAGGAGGGAACAUGAGAUAUCAGUAGCCUUUGAAGUUUUCAGGUGAUUCCAAAGCACAGGCAAGGCCUGAGAGCCAGGGAUCUUGAGGAACAACAGCAACAACUACAAAAAAACAAAAACAAAAACAAAAACAAAAAACCAGUAUGCUGUGAUGAGGAUUAAAUUACCAAUUUAAGGACAAAGCCCUUAGUUGGAGGAAAAAAGCCCUUUCAUCGUAGUUGGUGAAAGUUUUCCAGCCUAAAGAUUCACAUAGUCUAUAAUGUUGCUUCACUAUGCCAAAGUCACCUAGCAUAUUCCAAAGGCACGGGUUUGGCAUUGUCGCUAAACAGAAAGUGGUCACGAGUGGCAAAUAAUUUUGCGGUAAAUUUCUUCAAAUACACAAGGCAAGGGCGGGAUCACUGGGAAUUAGGUAAAUGUUUAAAAUUAAGAAAAUACAAUUCAGAAUUCGCUAGGGAAUUUUGCUUUAGUUAAAAAAAAGGGCUUUUGAUAGUUAAACAAAUAUUUGCUAAGUAAAUGAAUGUAUGACCUC